GACGAACGCUGGCGGCGUGCCUAACACAUGCAAGUCGCACGGGACUGGGGGCAACUCCAGUUCAGUGGCAGAUGGGUGCGUAACACGUGAGGAACUUGUCCGACGGCGGGGGAUAGCCGGCCCAACGGCCGGGUAAUACCGCGUACGCUCGUUUGGGGACAUCCCCGGAUGAGGAAAGCAGCCGCAAGGUUGCGCCGAUGGAGAGCCUCGCGGCGUAUCAGCUAGUUGGCGGGGUAACGGCCCACCAAGGCUACGACGCGUAGCUGGUCUGAGAGGAUGGCCAGCCACAUUGGGACUGAGACACGGCCCAGACUCCUACGGGAGGCAGCAGUGGGGAAUAUUGCGCAAUGGCCGAAAGGCUGACGCAGCGACGCCGCGUGUGGGAU
rnacentral:rRNA from 1 species